rnacentral:rRNA from 1 species
CAGUAGCCGCGGUAAUACGUAGGGUGCGAGCGUUAAUCGGAAUUACUGGGCGUAAAGCGUGCGCAGGCGGCUUUGCAAGACAGAUGUGAAAUCCCCGGGCUCAACCUGGGAACUGCAUUUGUGACUGCAAGGCUAGAGUGCGGCAGAGGGAGAUGGAAUUCCGCGUGUAGCAGUGAAAUGCGUAGAUAUGCGGAGGAACACCGAUGGCGAAGGCAAUCUCCUGGGCCUGCACUGACGCUCAUGCACGAAAGCGUGGGGAGCAAACAGGAUUAGAUACCCCGGUAGUCCCUGUCUCUUAUAC